CUUUCUACAUUCAGAAUCAAUGGGACCUUUUAAAACUAAGAGCUCAGAACACCGCCCAUAAGCGUUGAAGGAGUAGGAGUCACUAAUAGACCUUUAAAAAUAAAACAUCCUUAACAUUACUUUAUGAGCUCUGAUGGAGUAGUUCUAGGACAGAACUUGGGCUUCUGUAACACUCAAGAGACAGCUAUGGUUAAGAACUAGUAUAGAUUGCUGACACAAAAAUUUUAUCUUUUAAGAAAACUGAAGAACACAGUAAGCUAAGUUAGGAAGUGUUCAGUUAUACCAAUGUUUUGAGAGGAAGCUUCUUCCUCUCAAAUGAUGAUUGCAUGAUCAUUAAGUCAUACAAAUCUUUAAAAAGUUCUUGAUAGUGACUGAGAUGGGUGGCAAUCCAAAUUCUCAUAUAUGUGUAACCUUAUGAGAAAUGACCUAGGAAUUACUUAAUAUUCUUCCCCCACCCCCCACCCUUAAGAGGAGACUAUGUAAAUAAGUUACCUUUUUUUGCUUGCUUUAAAGAGUUUCUGUCCUUGACUCUGCCUUUCCUUAUUGUCCAUCUGGAUCCUCUGUUCUCAUAUAUUUUUGAGGUUAUGCUUUUCUGACUCCCUAGUUGACCCAUUUUGGUUCACCUGUAACUCACCUGAAAAACCUUUCUGAGAUUGUCUUUGAAUUGAUGUAGGUAAGAGGAAUUUUAGAUAAUAUUGCCGGGUUAAAAAGAUAGGCUGGAGCAGGGAAUAUUAGCCAUCAUAUCUACGCUCUUAGAAGAAUGAAAGUACCAUGUUUGACCAGUUCUUCAGUGAUUCAUAUAAGUGGUCAGUAGAUCAAAGGGACAGAUUACAAGUGAUCUUUCCUAAAACUGCACAAAGAAAAAAUGUUCAGACAUUUUCAGAAAUCCUUAAUACACUCUUCCUUAGAAAAGCUUGCCAAAUAUAUGUUGAAAAAAACCUGAAUUAGUUUUUCAUAUCAUAAAAGUUGCAAUUUAAUUAGCUCUCAACUUUAAUUGACAGGUAAUUUUACCUUUUAUACAUGUACUUUGUAAAAUCUAUACAAGUAUCAAAAAAUAUAACUUCUUAUUCACCUGAUAGAUUAAAAUCAAACACUAACUCUUAUUUUUAUGG
rnacentral:lncRNA from 1 species